GUGCCAGCCGCCGCGGUAAAACGUAGGAGCCUAGCGUUAUCCGAAUUUACUGGGCGUAAAGCGCGUGCAGGCGGCUUGGUAAGUUGGCUGUGAAAUCUCCCGGCUCAACUGGGAGGGGACGGUCAAGACUGUCAAGCUAGAGGGCGGUAGAGGGAGGUGGAAUUCCCGGUGUAGUGGUGAAAUGCGUAGAGAUCGGGAGGAACACCUGUGGCGAAAGCGGCCUCCUGGGCCGCACCUGACGCUCAGACGCGAAAGCUAGGGGAGCAAACGGGAUUAGAUACCCGCGUAGUCC
rnacentral:rRNA from 1 species